rnacentral:rRNA from 1 species
ACGUAGGGUGCAAGCGUUACUCGGAAUUACUGGGCGUAAAGCGUGCGUAGGUGGUUCGUUAAGUCUGUCGUGAAAGCCCCGGGCUCAACCUGGGAAUGGCGAUGGAUACUGGCGGGCUAGAGUGCGGUAGAGGAGAGUGGAAUUCCCGGUGUAGCAGUGAAAUGCGUAGAGAUCGGGAGGAACAUCUGUGGCGAAGGCGACUACCUGGACCAGCACUGACACUGAGGCACGAGAGCGUGGGGAGCAAACAGGA